GAUUAACGCUAGCGGCAGGCAUAAUACAUGCAAGUUGAACGGCAGCACAGGUAGCAAUACUGGGUGGCGAGUGGCGCACGGGUGCGUAACACGUAUGCAACCUACCCUAUACAGGCGAAUAACCUUUAGAAAUGAGGGCUAAUACGCCGUAGUAUUACAGAUGGGCAUCUAUUUGUAAUUAAAGAUUUAUCGGUAUAGGAUGGGCAUGCGUCCCAUUAGUUAGUUGGUAAGGUAACGGCUUACCAAGACGAUGAUGGGUAGGGGAUCUGAGAGGACUUACCCCCACACUGGUACUGAGACACGGACCAGACUCCUACGGGAGGCAGCAGUAAGGAAUGUUGGGCAAUGGCCGCGAGGCUGACCCAGCCAUGCCGCGUGCAGGAAGACGGCCUUAUGGGUUGUAAACUGCUUUUAUACGGGAAUAAUAGAGUGUACGCGUACAUUUAUGCAAGUAUCGUAUGAAUAAGCAUCGGCUAACUCCGUG
rnacentral:rRNA from 1 species